GAGGACCACCGCCCAGCUCCUUUCUUGGGACUAUACACAGCAUCCCAGCAUCAAGCUGCCAUCGCUCUGAACUGAGCCUGUGAGCAUCUGUCUCAUCUCAAUGUAUUCCGUGCAUCCAUUAACAAGAUAUGACCUAAGGUGUGAAUGCUGAGUCUGGAAUCUGUAACCACAAAAGCCGUGGAUCCUUUCGACAUGGUUCCCUCUCCCCUUGUCCCCAGUCCAUCCAACUGUCUCUCCACCUCUGCUUCCCGGCUCCCACGCUGGUACACCUACCUGAGUAUGAGUGUUGAGUGCCAACACUAGACUGCUCGGAAGUGCCCCCGAUCGCACAAAUCCCUUCCUUCUUAUUGAUAGCUUUUCUAAAGGUCUUGGCAACCUCUGUGCUUUUCAA